rnacentral:rRNA from 1 species
UACAGAGGGUGCGAGCGUUAAUCGGAAUUACUGGGCGUAAAGCGUGCGUAGACGGUCAUGUAAGUCGGAUGUGAAAGCCCCGGGCUCAACCUGGGAAUUGCAUUCGAGACUGCAUGGCUUGGGUGCGGAAGAGGGAAGCGGAAUUUCCGGUGUAGCGGUGAAAUGCGUAGAUAUCGGAGGGAACACCAGUGGCGAAAGCGGCUUCCUGGUCCGACACCGACGUUCAGGCACGAAAGCGUGGGGAGCAAACAGG